UACCCAGCAACUCCCAUCCCUACCUCCUCGUGGUACCGGCCGGAAACUAUCGGGAAGAUCGGGUAACCAACCCCGGUGGGAACUUUGGUCGUAGGCUGACAGGGAAGG
rnacentral:ribozyme from 1 species